rnacentral:rRNA from 1 species
GACGAACCGUACGAACGUUAUUCGGAAUCACUGGGCUUAAAGGGUGCGUAGGCGGCGCGGAAAGUAGGGUGUGAAAUCCCUCGGCUCAACCGAGGAACUGCGCUCUAAACUACCGUGCUCGAGGGAGAUAGAGGUGAGCGGAACUUAGGGUGGAGCGGUGAAAUGCGUUGAUAUCCUAAGGAACACCGGUGGCGAAAGCGGCUCACUGGAUCUCUUCUGACGCUGAGGCACGAAAGCUAGGGUAGCGAACGGG